GCUUUUUGAAGCAGAAGGGACCGGCGUCGCUCUCCGCCUCUCACCCCUCCUUCCUCCAUCUGCGGUUAACGAGGACGGCAUCGUUAGGGCGAGAUUCCCAUCCGUCCCAGUGAGAAGGGCGUUCCCAGCACCCGGGAGGAAACGGGGGACGCGAUCCAAAAUGGCUCUGCCUCGUCCCAUUCCCCUCCAGCACCGCAGCUUUGCCAGCCCCACACAACAACAGCUCCCCAUCUCCAGCUGCCCCAUCCCAGCCCAGCCAAACUCGCCCAAAAGACCCCAAAAAAAGGCAAAAAACCAACGCAAAAAAAAAACAAACAACAACCCAAGAACAAAACCCAGGUGUCCCACGCCGCUCCACAGCCAAAAAAAGAGGAGAAAAAAGGGAAAAAAGGGAAAAAAGGGAAAAAAGAAAGCAGUUUUGUUGCAGGGUAAGGAGGCGCCGGGGGCCAUCUGGCUCCGGGCGUGGAGCUGGGCCCGUUCCAGGCGUCACAUGCUCCGGGUUUUGGGUUGAAAACGGAGCUUUUUCGCCAAGCUCUCCCCGUUUUUUGUUUUUUUUGUUUUUUGUUUUACCCAUUCCUGGGCGUUCUGGGCCCGAUUCUGCUGCGUUUUCACA